ensembl:lncRNA
AUGGCACAUGGAGGUUAAGGACCAUUAGUCUGCUCCCUGGACUAAGGCCGCGCCUAUUAUAGUGCUACAGCGGAGCUUUCUUCAAUGGGCCAACUCUACUUUAUCACUGCUUACCCAAGACCUUUCCCAGAAGGUCAGGCUCCUCUAAUGACUCGUGACUUGAGUCAUGAGGAGGACGGCAGAAGUGAACGGGGAACGUUUCCCGUACGCCGGACGGAGCAGACGGAGCAGGAACGAACGGGGAGGAAGAAGGAAGAGGGCGAGAGAAGUGCUUCACGUCAAACUUUGGGGAGCAGUGCUGUGACGUCUGGGAAAUUACAGUAAAACAGUGUUUUUUUUUCAAGAUGUUCAGGACAUUCCAUCAGGUGCCAGUCAGGGAAAAGAAACCGAGGACGAGGACUUUUCUCCCCCCAAUGCGAGCGAGCAGCAUGACGGAAAUAACUCAACUUCGGGAGGAAACUAUGCAGCCUCACAUCACCCCCCUCCCCCGCCUCCCCCGUGCGUCCUUGCGGAGGGACGGUUGCUCCAACAAAGAUGCUGUUAAAUGGAUUUGUGUGUGCGCGCGUGCAAAUGUGUGCGCGUGUGCCGACACGCAGCGUUUUUGUGCGGCGCUUCGGCAGAAAGCUGAUUAAAGAGCGAGUGAGGAAGUUGCUUUCUACCCCACAGUGGACCGACAAUGUGCAGGAUUAAUCAGGCCCGGCUCCUAUCCACGCAGGUUAAUUAGGGUUAAAUGAUAAUUAGGACACCAUUAAAAAGGCAAACAACCACAGAGGACCCUUAAUCCGUGCGGUGGUGUGCUGCGGCGCGUAGGUUUAUUUGUUUGUGGAGGUGUGUGUGUGUGUGUGUGUGUGAGGUGUUUUUGGGGCAUCUGCUGAGCUAUGAGUUUGUGUGAAUUAGAUAUAAAAAAAAGACAAAGGCCGCUUAGUUUGAACCUCACUGAUGAAAUGUUGUUCUUGACGAAGGUCACGUCACACAGAGUAAAUCUUUCUGAAUGGUUGAAAAUGCAGAAUCCGAGGUGAAAAUACCGACAACAAAGAGCAGCCCCGUCCACGUGCAUCGCAUCCACGCCACGUCACGUUGACCGCCGCUUAUCGAACCGCCCGCAAAAAAGUCCACCGCGGAGGAAAAUAGAAUUAUGACCGACACCCAGAAUGCUUUGCACCUGCACUGAUGGGAUGUAAAUGCGUCCGGCUCGACCUGGAACAUCCUCCGUGUCCCUACUCAGAUACGAUAAUUUGCUCCCGUUUUGUGACACCAGGAUGCUGCAGUGACAAAUUAGAAUUGAUUGGAGCCUCGGCUAAAAUGUCUCAGGAUGUGACCCCUGAGCUCAGAGGCAUUUUGCCGUAUUAGUAUUCUGCCCCUGACUGCUGCUACCUGGCAGCUAAGGUUUUAGAGCAUGAAUUAAAUCAAUGUGCAUCACUGUGGGGAUCUUUCCUUCAUCUCGCUGUAUUGCAGUUACUUGCAUGUCUUUCCACCAGCAUCACUAUAAUACCAUAAUGCAACACAGUCACUUGCAUGACCGUUGUACAUUAAACAUCUCCAAUCAAGUUUUACAUGUUUUUUUGAUGACGAUUUAUUCCCCAAAUCUGCAGAACUCCUUCGCUCUGCUGCACCCAGAUGUUAACUGACCAAAUGUACAACCCCCCCCCCGACCCCCCCCCAGCACGUAAGGGUGAAGCUGCGCGGGAGGGAGGUGAGGUAGGUGGGGGGGCGGGGGUCUGAGAUCCCGAUGGUGUGGCUGCACAGUAGCAGAGGGCAUUUUAUGGACCCCCUGUGAUCUGACUGAUGGGGGCUGGAUGAGCACAAUGACGUCUUUUGAUGUGGUUUUGACUCCCAGACAGGUUUUUUCUGUGUGUGUGUGUGUGUGUGUGUGUGUGUGUGUGUAUUACCACCCAGCAGCUCCCUCCUCGAUGCGUGUCGAUCGGUUUGUGUUGUUUUUGUGUGUGUGUGGUUCAUGGUGGUGCGUUUGUCCGGUUGUUGUGGGAUGAAAGUGGAAUCUUUUUUUUUUUUUCAUCAUCAAGUGAUGAUUAUGUCUGUUGGGUUGAUCAGUCCACCACUUUGGACCGGACCGAAGUCUCCCACCCAAUAUUAGAUGGCCUGCCACGGCCUUUAGUUCAGUCCCCAGAGGAUGAACCCGACUGAAUGAACCCGAGUGAAUGAACCCGAGUGAUCCCCUGACUUUUCCUUUAGUGGCACCAAGAGGUUGACAUUUUUCCACCUCUAAUGGAAUACUGCAAUAACUGCAGGGUGGAAAGCCAUGACAUUUGCUGCAGAUAUCCAUGGUCCCCAGAGGUUAACCCAGAAGGCUUUGGCUCGACGACGAAGAAGAGAAGAGAGGGUUACUUCAUUUGCGGUUGAACUGGUCCGACGUCAACACCCCCUCGGUUCACAGCCAGUCACCCACGCUGUCACACAGGUACCAGGGACAGGUGUGUGUGUGCAGUGAUUUCAAACAGCGGAGGACACUUCAGGCUGUCGGCUGUAUUCUCGCCAUCACCGCCGUGAUAUGAUCCAUCCUUUUCCUCUCCAUUGAAACACAGGUGAGGAACACUGUCCGGGAUGGAAUGCACAGUUGCUCUGUGACUUUAUUCAAAGGACGCUUUUGCUAGAACUAGAAUUAAAGAUGUGGGUUCUGGAACGAGCUGUUGGUUAAGCAGCAUUUUACUGUUAUUGUGCAAAAGAGAGAGAAGGAAGAAAGAAUCCGGGUAAAACAGCGUUUCACUGUGCAGAGUUACUUUGUCUCAUGCUUAUAAAACAUGAUGCUAAUACACUCGUAGUAUAUGAUGAAAUACACUGUCAGAUAAAAGCCAAAUUGUGUCUUCAAUGGGACAGAUUUUCCAAGUGCGAGCAAACUUCUGCAGCCACGUCAGUCAGUUUGAAUGACAAAAGGAAAGACGUGAAUGAAAGAGGGCAUUGAUGCCGUGUUUGACUCUCAUAUCAAUGGUAUGUUGUCUCAAGGGACAGGAAGGACUCGACGGGGACAAGUACAAACACGGCGUAACACUUUGACGAAUGAUCAAAAAGGACGCGUUAAUCAAUCGCCGGUCACGAUGGCGUGACCUCCGAACAGUGACAUCGUUUUGCGUCCGGCCACGUAGCGCUGCGCGUUUUAAUCGACAUUCAUUGACUGUGAUGAGAUGUUUUGUUUUAAAAUACAUCAAUAUCAACCAUGGAUCCGGGUAAUCGGCGCAGUCAUGUUUAGUGUGUUUUGCUGGUGUUCUCAGACACGCGUAGAAAU